rnacentral:misc_RNA from 1 species
ACAAAUCUAUAUAGUGUGGCGGUCCUUGUGUCCGCUUGCACACAUUAGCCCUAUAGCGAUCGACCAGGUAUUACUUGGACCGAUCGCUAUGGUGUUGUGGUGGGGAUUGAAGUCGGAGACGACUUUGAUCUGUGCCAUAUAUUAACGCUUGUUUGUUUGACAGAGUUAUUAUGACAAUAAUAAAUGA